CGCGCGCCAGAUAUGUCGACCGACUAAAUACCUUGCCGUGUAACCCGCGAAUAGAGACUAAAUAUAUUCGCCAUGGGGAAGUAUUCAAGUGGGUCGGCCAUAUUUGACCCAUGGAAUAAUUAGUCCGCUGCUUUGAAUGCAUGCUAUGAUAAUUAGAAUAAUGAAGGUGUCUCCGAUGUCUCUCCACCGAUGUCUUCAUUUGCAUCACUUCUAUAGCUAGGCCAAGUGCGGAUAAAUUGAGGAUUCCAGCAAGUUUUCAGUUUUGUACUGCAUUGUUAUUUCCUAACGUUUCAAACAGCUGUGAAGUUUUCUGCCAAUAUACCAUGGGCAAUACCCUAUUCAGUGAGUGUACUCUACCAAACGCUUACCAGAACAUAACCACGGCGACGGAAUGCACAAUGUGGCAGCGCCUCUACAAGUCCCGUUUGUACCUUUAACCCGCUCUUCCUGCUCUUCUCCGCCUCUGGAUUCCGCUGCCUGUGCCCGCCGGGGACGUGGCCAUUCAUUUUUCCGAGCUUUGCUAUACCUAAUGGACCGCCUGCAGAGGUUGUGACAGUCUGCUUCAAUACCAAUAACAAGUUUUAUAUGCAGCUUCAACGACCGGUUUACCGUGGACAUUACGCCCAGCUACUACUGCAACUCUAAUAC